UUGACUUUCCCUCUAUAUAUACGGCAUUUCGCCAAAAAAAUUUCAUUCGUUCUCUUUGGUGUUGUGGUCUCUGUUAUUUUGGUAUAUGGAUUUUGCCUUAGUUUUGUUUGUAUUGCGCGGGUGAUUCGGUUUUGUUGGUAUUGUUUUGGUGAUUGUUGUGCUUCUUUCUUACCAGUUUCCUUCUUGAUCAAGUUUGUCUAGGGUUUUGGCGAAUUAUAUGAUGUUUGCGAUGGAUUGGUGUGGUUUUCUUGGAUUUUCGGAUUGCUAAUUCAGAAUAACCUAAUUUCUUUUCCAAUUUCCUUUCUAUUAUUUAGCUUCUCUGGUAUUGAUGACCGAUUAUUUUCUUAUGCGUUUAUUCGUGACUGGCUAUUUGAUGUCGGAGACUUAUCAAUUUGGUGUGUUAUUUGUGUUUAUUCCUAUUUGGUGUGUUUAUCCUGAUUUCUCGAUGAGUUUCCUUUCUAUUACGUAAUUUCUCUUGAUUUGAUCACCAAACGUCGGAUUGAAUUUUCAAUUGUUUCUCUACGCAGCGUUGUUUGGAUUAUUUCCGUUUAGUGUUAUCAGCAUCUCAUGGAGCAUGUUAUGAGCGACCGUGUCUCCCUUGGUUUUUUUAAUUCUUAAAUUGAUCUAAUUUUUUAUAAACUGUGUCCUCUAUUACCAGUUAUAGUAUUACCAGUUAUAGUUUUCUUGAAUUCUUGUUCUUUGCAGAGAUGUGAGAGAUGUGUGGGUUAGGAUGUGCAAAACAGUGGCGGGAGAUUCCUUGAACAGUGAAGCAUUAGUUGUUCUUUUUACUCUUACAUUAAUUUUUUCUUUUGCAUUAAUUCUUGAUUGGAUGAACUUUCGGGUUUAUUUUUAUUUUUUUCUUCUUAGGCAUAACCAAAUUUAUAAUGGAAGGCCAAAGAAUCUCCAAUUUUAGGAGAUGAUCAUGACCACUGGAUGGAAUAAUGACAUUUGUUCUUUUAGCAGUUUCUACUAUGGUGAUCUUUAGGGAUAAAUUGAAAAGGGUAACAAGUAUAAGUAAAUUUAUUUUUUUCUUUGAUUACACAUUUGUUGGUUUCUUGACAUUUUGUGAACCCUUUUUUCUUGCAGUGUGAUUGGAGUAGUUUUGGGUCGGUAUUCUAUUUGAACUGGAUUUUGUAUUCUCAAAUUUGCUUUGUGUUUCCACUUCUCGUCGGUCUAGUAUGUUAUUCCCACCGCUUCAUACCAAGCUCUAACUUUAUGCCUGGUGUUCUGUUGAUAUUUCCAUAUCAGGAAUGGUUUGGAUAUGUUUUGAGUACUACGAUCUUCAAUGUGCUGGGGAUUAAACGUGAAAUGGCAACUGCACAAAAUAACAUAAUUUCUUGAAAUGUUUCCUCUACUAUUAUUUAACUUCGCUGGUAUUGAUAACCGAACAUUUGGAUUGAAUUGUGAUUUCUUUCGAUGCAGCAGGUUUGUCUUAAUCGAGCCUUCUGCGAAUACGUCUGCAUUGGUUUUUGUAUUCUUGAAUUUAUUAAUUCAUUUUAUCUUUUCUUAAAUUCUUGGUCUUUACGUGCAAGACAAGCAAUGGAUGUGGAAACUUUAGAAGGAGAUCCUAUGAAGCUUUAGGUUUUAUUACCCUUACAUCUUCUGAUGCGUUUAUAUUUACAUUGACGGAUAUCCAUUUGAAUUUGAAUACAGUUCUUCAUUUGAUUACGUCUAGGUGUUGAACUGUUUAUGUGUAGGUGUUGAACUGUUUAUGUUCAUUCCUUUCUUGCUUGUCGAGAAUCUAAGAUUGGUGGAGGAUUAAAAUCCCGCAGUGUUUACAUCGACCAACGAUUCAGGAUUACCUGAGUUCUUUUGAGUUUUCUUCUAUUUUUGACUUUCGGGAUUUUAUAACCUAAUAUGAUCACUCCUAAUUGUUUUCUUGAAUUGUUCGGCCUUACUGGGAACACAAUCGUGACUGACUUGUGAGCUAGGAUGUGGAAACUUUAGCCAGGGAAUCUGUGAAGCUUUAGGUUUUGCUUUCUUUUCUAUUAUCAUUUAUUGUUUAUGAAUAUCAGACUCUAACAAUAAAAAGUCACCUUAAUUGUCAGAUUUGCUCUUCUUUCUCUUUGAAAUGUCCUCUUGUAUGAGACUUCAUUUGCUGGAUGAGCAUUUAUAAAUUUAAAUGCUUGAUUUUUGCUCAAUCUUAAUCCCUUGCUGAUUUUAAACAGAACUGCUUUCAGAAUAAGAAUUGUUUGAGCGCUAUCAUCUACAUUGAAACGACAACUGCUCAAGAUAACUUUAAUUUCUUCUACUAUUUAACUUCGCUGGACUUGAUCAACGAACAUUAGGAUUGAAUUGUGAUUUGUUUCUCUGCAGAAGUGUUUAUAUUAGAUUCGUGCAGUGUACCUGCAUCUUAUAUAGUCUCUCGGAUCCUGUGGAGCUUUAGGUUUUGUUACCCACACAUUUCCUAAUGUGUUUUAUUUCUGGCAUUUGAUCACCUGACAUAAGGAUUUAACUGCCAUUUGUUUCUUCAGAGGUGUUUCGGUAUCUUUCGUUUCUACAUUUCGUUGGUCUAGCAUCAGUAUAUUUCUCCAGUAGUUCUGCUUGGCCUAGCAUCAAUAUUUCACCAAUAGUUCUGCUUGAUUUGGGUCGCUCUCAUUGAACUGAAGUCCAUCAAAUAUAAAAUGUUAGACAUUGAGUUCAAAUUAAGAUUAGCAUAUCAUGGAGCAUGUUAUGAGCGAUCUUGUCUGCCUUGUUUUUUUAAUUCUUAAAUUUAUAUAAUUUGUUCUAAACUUAGUCCUCUAUUACCAGUUAUAGUUUUCUUGAAUUCUUGUUCUUUGUAGAGAUGUGUGGGAUAGGAUGUGCAAAACAGUGGCAGGAGAUUCCUUUAACAAUGAAACAUUAGUAGUUCUUUUUACUCUUACAUUACUUUUUUUUUCUGUUGCAUUAAUUCUUGAUUGGAUGAACUUCUCGGUUUUAUUUUUAUUUUUUUCUUCUUAGGCAUAACCAAAUUUAUAAUGGAAGACCAAAGAAUAUCCAAUUUUAGCAGAUGAUCAUGACCACUGGAUGACAUUUGUUCUUGUAUCAGUUUGCUCUAUGGUGAUCUUUAGGGUAUCAAUAAAUUGAAAAGGGUAACAAGUAUAGGUAAAUUUAAGAUUGUUUUUAUUACGCAUUUUGUUGGUUUCUUUAAGGUUUUUGUGAACCUUUUUUUCUUGCAGUGUUCGUUCGACUAGUUUUGGGUCUGUACUCUAUUUUAGAAUGGAUUUUGGUGAUCUUUAGGGUAUGAAUACUUGUUAACGGUAACAAGUAUAGGUAAAUAUAAGAUUUUUUUUAUUAUGCAUUUGUUGGUUUCUUCUUGACAAUUUUGUGAACCAUUUUUUCUUGCAGUGUUCGUUCGACUAGUUUUGGGUCGGUAUUCUAUUUUAGAAUGGAUUUUGGUGAUCUUUAGGUAUGAAUAAAUUGAAAAGGGUAACAAAUGUAGGUAAAUUAACGAUUUUUUUUUAUUACGCAUAUUGUUGGUUUCUUGACGAUUUUGUGAACCUUUUUUUCUUGCAGUGUUCGGUCGACUAGUUUUGGGUCAGUAUUCUAUUUUAGACUGGAUUUUGUAUGCUCAAAUUUGCUUUCUGUUUCCACUUUUCCUCGGUCUAGUAUGUUCUUCCCUCCCCUUCAGUGAGUGUGUGGUUGGUUGUUGAUGCAGUAGGUGUCUUCUUACAUGAUUUGGUGAUCUCCACUAUUUAUCCUGAAUCUUGGAUUUUAAUUUGUACUACACACUGACCUCUAUCUUAUUGCUGGUUAUAUUUCUCAAUUUUAAUCCCUUGAUGAUUUGUUCAGUCUCAAAAAAAGCUCUAUAUUAGGUAAAUUUUAUGCCCGGUUCUAUUGUGUGAUCAUUCUGAACUUUUUCUUCUGUGAGUUUUGUUUUUUCCUUAUAUCCGUAUCAGGAAUGGUUCCAAUCUUCUGUGGAGUGGAGUAGUUUGAGCAACAAUAUUAGUUUGCAAUUGGAGGAUUACUCUCGGUACUUUUUAAUAUGAUCUAUACUAGUAUUUCCAAUUUAAUUGGAUAUCUUUUUUCUUAACAGUGCUUUUGGAAUAUAUGUUUGAGUACUACGAUCUACAUGAAGCUGGGUAUUAACAAUCAUUUCUGGAAUAUAUAGCAUAAUUUCUUCUAACUACUAUCAGUUGCCUGCUCAAGAUAAACUAAUUUCCUCUACUAUUAUUUAACUUCGCUGGAGUUGGUAACCGAACAUUUGGAUUGAAUUGUGUUUUCUUUCGCUGCAGCAGUUUUGUAUUAAUUUUGUGUACUGGGUGUGGAAAUUUUAGAAGACAAGUUCCGAGAGUUAUUGGCGUGGAAACUUUAGCAGGAGACCCUCUGAGCUCUAGGUUUUGUUACCAUUACAUUUUCUGAUGCGUUUUUUUUUUGCAAGGAUAUCUAUUUUGAAUUUGCGCGUCGAAAUAAGAUUGUUCGAGUAUUAAAAUCCUAAAUUUGUUUUUUUGGGAUUUGAUCACCUAACAUACAUGAUCACUGAAUUGUCAUUUGUUCCACCAUUUAUCUCAUCGAGCAUGCUGAAAGAUGACAUCUCCUUUUGAUGCUGUUUCCUUUUUGUUUUGAAGUUGUCUUAUUGUUUCUAUUCUUAGUCUUUUGAUUAGUGAAAUCUAUCAAAUCUAGCUGUUUGAUCUGUGAUUAUGUUCAUUCCUUUUCAGGUUAAAAAAUAAUUCUAAUGUUGAGGGGUAAUAUAAUUUUUUGGAUGAGUUUCCUUUCUGUCAUUUAAUAUCUUUGGACUGGAUCAUCAAAUAUAAGGAUUCAAUUGUGAUUUGUUUUCCGCAGCAAUGUUUGGUGGAUUUGUUUCGUGUAACAUUCCUCUCAUCGAGGAAAUCUUACAAGUGAAGACAUCUCCCUCUGAUUUUUCUACUUUGUAGUUUUCUUCAAUUUUUGGGCCUUACGGGGAAGACAACCAACUGAUAUGUGAGCUAGGAUGUGGAAGCCAGGGGAUCUGUGAUGCUUUAGGUUUUGUUACCCUUGCUUUUCUUAUGUCUUAAUCUUUGACUAGUUAAACUUAUGAUGCUUUAAUUUAAAGUCUUGUGUGAUUUAAUUUUGUAAAAGGGAAAGAGAAGAUAUGAGGGAAACAAAAUAUCAUGGCCAUUACAGUUUUGUCUCGAAGCUAUUUUUAAUUUAGACCUGCCGUUUCUCGAAGCUAUUUUUCUCAUCGCAAAAUUUAAUCCUCUUACUUUGCUUUCUUUUGUAUUUUCAUUUAUUGUUUAUGAAUAUCAGACUAUAACAAUAGUAAGUCACCUUAAUUGUCAGAUUUGCCUCUCUGAAUUGCUCAAUCGUAAUCCCUUGCUGUUUUUAAACAGCACUGUUUUGGAAUAGGAUUUGUUUGAGCGUGUUAUCAUCUACAUGAAGCUGGAACGUGAAACGGCAACUGCUCAAGAUAACCUUCUACGAGUUCGCCGGACUUGAUCAUCUAACAUUAGGAUUGUAUUCCUCUCUAUUAUUAUGUUUCUCUGCACUCGAUCACCGAACAUAAAGUUAUAAAUAAUUUGCGCCUAUUAACAUUUAUUUGUUUUUAUUUCUUUUACCCUUUUGGGAUCUUUUUUUUUGUACUACAGUGAUCCUCCUUUAAAUUGACAUAAAAUGGUGGUUGAAUAUAGAAAGAAAAACUCUUGCUAUGGAUAGGUCUGCAUCUUUGGAAGGUUAAAUUUCUUAUGCCGUAUUCCAAAUUCUAUUAAAAUUUCUCUCAAUGUUAAUUGAUUUAUCUUUA
rnacentral:lncRNA from 1 species